AUUGAACGCUGGCGGCAUGCCUUACACAUGCAAGUCGAACGGUAACAGGUCUUCGGAUGCUGACGAGUGGCGAACGGGUGAGUAAUACAUCGGAACGUGCCCAGACGUGGGGGAUAACGAGGCGAAAGCUUUGCUAAUACCGCAUACGAUCUAAGGAUGAAAGCAGGGGACCGCAAGGCCUUGCGCGUUUGGAGCGGCCGAUGGCAGAUUAGGUAGUUGGUGGGAUAAAAGCUUACCAAGCCGACGAUCUGUAGCUGGUCUGAGAGGACGACCAGCCACACUGGGACUGAGACACGGCCAAGACUCCUACGGGAGGCAGCAGUGGGGAAUUUUGGACAAUGGGCGAAAGCCUGAUCCAGCAAUGCCGCGUGCAGGAUGAAGGCCUUCGGGUUGUAAACUGCUUUUGUACGGAACGAAAAGGCUCUGGCUAAUACCUGGGGCACAUGACGGUACCGUAAGAAUAAGCACCGGCUAACUACGUG
rnacentral:rRNA from 1 species